UGUGUUUACAUGUGGGAGCGACCCCUGAGGGCGCGCCCUUGCCUUCGCCGUCUCGUCCCAUCGACCACUCCAACAACACAUCAGACAGGUCCUUCUUUAACAUGAGGUCGCGCCCCCCGGGGAGGCGAGGACACCCCGUAAAAGGCAUCUGGGAGAGCCAUGGCUAACCCCUCGAGGUGCAGGGACAUGUCCUCACCUCUCGGUGAGGUCUUCAUCUUCAAACAAGGUAGACAAGGAGCCAAAUUACACGAUCGUCUCAAUCCCCCGAUGAGGGCUAACUCACCAGAAUACAGGAUCCAGACAUAUGAUCGGCCUUCGUGUUACCCCGGAGGGCCUUCAAGAGCCAUGAUCACCUCAAGCCCCCACACGAGGGUUAACUCGGCAGAUAGCAGGAUUGAGGAUUGUAGAUCAUGCCCGGAUGAGCCCAGGAACUAUCAGAUGAGCCUGAUAACUACCAAAUGAGCUUGGUAACUAGUCUUCAUAUCCCUCGGAAGGGUCGUCACGGAGACUCACUCAUCCUCUCUCUCUCAUCAUGUAUUUCAUAACUAUGCCUCUUCUGAGUCAAAGGACGCGCCCUGAUAGGGAGGACGUGUCCUUCCCAAUUCCCGUCUUCAUCCCUGUUUACUGGACAAGAGACCGCACUCCCCGGGUUAUGUCCGGAGGAGGGCGCGUCCUCCCCUCUACAUGGUGUACAAAAACGGCUACAACACCUCGGAAGAGUCGUCGUAUCCCCCGGAGGGGUCGUCAUAUCCCCCGGAGGGGUAGGUCUUCCUAUCCCCGGAGGGGCGGUCUUCGUCUCCCUCGGAAGGGUUGUCUCAGCGAAUGUACGCUCUCCAAUAGGAAGAGCCUUCUUACAAUAUGUGUUUACAUGUGGGAGCGACCCCUGAGGGCGCGCCCUUGCCUUCGCCGUCUCGUCCCAUCGACCACUCCAACAACACAUCAGACAGGUCCUUCUUUAACAUGAGGUCGCGCCCCCGGGGAGGCGAGGACACCCCGUUAAAGGCACGCCCUUGGUCUUCAUCUCAUGGUCAACUUCUUACAAGGGACGCGCCCCUCGGUCACCUCCGAAGAGGGCGCGCCCUCCUCCAUAGAUUACACGACGUGGGUGGACGGAGGUCGGUCGCGUCUCUCCAUCAAUACUCUCAAGUAAGGCGUCCCUCCUUGUGACUCGGAGGACGCGUCCUCUUCACGCAACACCAAUGGUCGGUCACAUCCUCCCUUUAUAAGCAGGAGGACGCGUCCUCUUCACGCAACACCAAAGGUCGAUCGCAUCCUCCCUUUAUAAGCAGGAGGACGCGUCCUCUUCAUGGGACACGUGUGACCUGGAGGACGCAUCCCUCCUUCCGACGCGGAGGACGCGUCCUCUUCAUUAAGAUACGCAACAUCGGCGGAUCAGUCACAUCACGGAGGGCUGCGCCCUUCCGUUCAGACUAGUCUCUUCAAGGGUCGGUCGCGUCCUCACUUUAUAAGCAGGAGGACGCGUCCUUCCUUUAUAUAGGACUCUUAGCCCAAUUCAUGUCUUAC
rnacentral:lncRNA from 1 species